CAGGAUUCUUUCAGAUUACUUCUUGUAUUUGAAUGUUGUUUUAGUUCGUGACAUAUUAUGUAAGAAAAUACAGUUCUUCACUAAAAGUUCUUCAAAUACAGUUCUUCGCUAAAAGUUCUUCACUAAGUAUGAAAUUUUUAAAAAUGUGAAAUCAAAGACAACUAUAAUUCAUUAUUAUGUUGGUCGGAUAGUUAUUAACUUCGUG
rnacentral:misc_RNA from 1 species